rnacentral:ncRNA from 1 species
AGGCCUGAGGCGCGGUCGACCACCCGCUGAACUUAAGCAUAUCAUUAAGCGGAGGAAAAGAAAACAACCGUGAUUCCCCUAGUAGCGGCGAGCGAAGCGGGAGAAGCCCAAUCCGAAUCGGCGCAGCCGAGUUGUGGAGUAGUGAGGACGCCGGGGCGGACGUCGCGUGCACCAAAGUCUUCCUGGAAAGGAGCGCCAGAGAGGGUGAUAGCCCCGUGUACGUGCGCGCGCGCCCGCGCGACCCGGUGUCUGCGGAGUAGUACUGCUUGGGAAUGCAGUGCGAACGGCAGGUAUACCUCUGCCAAGGCUAAAUAUCAUGGGGAGACCGAUAGCGAACAAGUAGCGUGAGCGAAAGAUGAAAAGCACUUUGGAGAGAGAGUGAAACAGCACCUGAAGCUGUUGUGAGGUAAGGGAUGGAUCAC